ACAUGGUAGCACAGUGGUUAGCGCUGUUGCCUCACAAUGAGGAGGUUCCAGAAUCGAGUCCUGGUGGGUA